GCCGGCGCGCGGGGAUGGGCCUGCGUCCUAUCAGCUAGUUGGCAGGUAACGGCCUACCAAGGCUUCGACGGGUAGCUGGUCUGAGAGGAUGAUCAGCCACACUGGCACUGAAACACGGGCCAGACUCCUACGGGAGGCAGCAGUGAGGAAUUUUGCGCAAUGGCCGCAAGGCUGACGCAGCAACGCCGCGUGGGUGAAGAAGGCCUUCGGGUCGUAAAGCCCUGUCAGGUGGGAAGAAUGUUUCGGGGAGUAAUAUGUCCCGGAAGUGACGGUACCACCAGAGGAAGCACCGGCUAACUCCGUGCCAGCAGCCGCGGUAA
rnacentral:rRNA from 1 species